AUACGGAGGGUGCAAGCGUUACUCGGAAUCACUGGGCGUAAAGCGCGCGCAGGCGGUCUUUUAAGUUGGAUGUGAAAGCCUACGGCUCAACCGUAGAACUGCAUCCAAAACUAUUAGACUAGAGUGUGGGAGAGGAAGAUGGAAUUAGUUGUGUAGGAGUAAAAUCCGUAGAGAUAACUAGGAAUACCAAAAGCGAAGGCAAUCUUCUGGAACACUACUGACGCUGAGGCGCGAAAGCGUGGGGAGCAAACAGGAUUAGAUACCCUAGUAGUCC
rnacentral:rRNA from 1 species